rnacentral:tRNA from 1 species
GGCUCGGUAGCUUCGGUAAAGCACUCGUCUAGCAUACAAAAGUCGUGAGUUCAAAUCCCACCUGAGCAC